CCUACGGGGGACUGCAGUCGAGAAUCAUUCACAAUGGGGGAAACCCUGAUGGUGCGACGCCGCGUGGGGGAAUGAAGGUCUUCGGAUUGUAAACCCCUGUCAUGUGGGAGCAAAUUAAAAAGAUAGUACCACACGAGGAAGAGACGGCUAACUCUGUUCCAGCAGCCGCGGUAAUACAGAGGUCUCAAGCGUUGUUCGGAAUCACUGGGCGUAAAGCGUGCGUAGGCUGUUUCGUAAGUCGUGUGUGAAAGGCGCGGGCUCAACCCGCGGACGGCACAUGAUACUGCGAGACUAGAGUAAUGGAGGGGUAACCGGAAUUCUCGGUGUAGCAGUGAAAUGCGUAGAUAUCGAGAGGAACACUCGUGGCGAAGGCGGGUUCCUGGACAUUAACUGACGCUGAGGCACGAAGGCCAGGGGAGCGAAAGGGAUUAGAUACCCGAGUAGUC
rnacentral:rRNA from 1 species